UACGAAGGGGGCUAGCGUUGCUCGGAAUCACUGGGCGUAAAGGGCGCGUAGGCGGCCAUUCAAGUCGGAGGUGAAAGCCCAGGGCUCAACCCUGGAAUUGCCUUCGAUACUGUUUGCUAGAGACCGGAAGAGGUAAGUGGAACUGCGAGUGUAGAGGUGAAAUGCGCAGAUAUCAGGAGGAACACCGGUGGCGAAGGCGGGUCUCUGGGCCGUAACUGACGCUGAGGAGCGAAAGCGUGGGGAGCGAACAGG
rnacentral:rRNA from 1 species